ACGGAGGAUGCGAGCGUUAUCCGGAUUUAUUGGGUUUAAAGGGUGCGUAGGUGGACUGUUUAGUCAGUGGUGAAAUGCUGAUGCUCAACGUUAGCAUUGCCGUUGAAACUGACAGUCUUGAGAGUGAUUGAGGCAGGCGGAAUGUGUGGUGUAGGGGUAAAAUGAAUAGAUAUCCCGAAGAACUCCGUGGGCGAAGGCAUCUUACCAAGCCACAACUGACACUGAAGCACGAAAGCGUGGGGAUCAAACAG
rnacentral:rRNA from 1 species